rnacentral:rRNA from 1 species
GAUGAACGCUGGCGGCGUGCCUAAUACAUGCAAGUCGAGCGAACGGACGAGAAGCUUGCUUCUCUGAUGUUAGCGGCGGACGGGUGAGUAACACGUGGAUAACCUACCUAUAAGACUGGGAUAACUUCGGGAAACCGGAGCUAAUACCGGAUAAUAUUUUGAACCGCAUGGUUCAAAAGUGAAAGACGGUCUUGCUGUCACUUAUAGAUGGAUCCGCGCUGCAUUAGCUAGUUGGUAAGGUAACGGCUUACCAAGGCAACGAUGCAUAGCCGACCUGAGAGGGUGAUCGGCCACACUGGAACUGAGACACGGUCCAGACUCCUACGGGAGGCAGCAGUAGGGAAUCUUCCGCAAUGGGCGAAAGCCUGACGGAGCAACGCCGCGUGAGUGAUGAAGGUCUUCGGAUCGUAAAACUCUGUUAUUAGGGAAGAACAUAUGUGUAAGUAACUGUGCACAUCUUGACGGUACCUAAUCAGAAAGCCACGGCUAACUACGUGCCAGCAGCCGCGGUAAUACGUAGGUGGCAAGCGUUAUCCGGAAUUAUUGGGCGUAAAGCGCGCGUAGGCGGUUUUUUAAGUCUGAUGUGAAAGCCCACGGCUCAACCGUGGAGGGUCAUUGGAAACUGGAAAACUUGAGUGCAGAAGAGGAAAGUGGAAUUCCAUGUGUAGCGGUGAAAUGCGCAGAGAUAUGGAGGAACACCAGUGGCGAAGGCGACUUUCUGGUCUGUAACUGACGCUGAUGUGCGAAAGCGUGGGGAUCAAACAGGAUUAGAUACCCUGGUAGUCCACGCCGUAAACGAUGAGUGCUAAGUGUUAGGGGGUUUCCGCCCCUUAGUGCUGCAGCUAACGCAUUAAGCACUCCGCCUGGGGAGUACGACCGCAAGGUUGAAACUCAAAGGAAUUGACGGGGACCCGCACAAGCGGUGGAGCAUGUGGUUUAAUUCGAAGCAACGCGAAGAACCUUACCAAAUCUUGACAUCCUUUGACAACUCUAGAGAUAGAGCCUUCCCCUUCGGGGGACAAAGUGACAGGUGGUGCAUGGUUGUCGUCAGCUCGUGUCGUGAGAUGUUGGGUUAAGUCCCGCAACGAGCGCAACCCUUAAGCUUAGUUGCCAUCAUUAAGUUGGGCACUCUAAGAUGACUGCCGGUGACAAACCGGAGGAAGGUGGGGAUGACGUCAAAUCAUCAUGCCCCUUAUGAUUUGGGCUACACACGUGCUACAAUGGACAAUACAAAGGGCAGCGAAACCGCGAGGUCAAGCAAAUCCCAUAAAGUUGUUCUCAGUUCGGAUUGUAGUCUGCAACUCGACUACAUGAAGCUGGAAUCGCUAGUAAUCGUAGAUCAGCAUGCUACGGUGAAUACGUUCCCGGGUCUUGUACACACCG